AAAUUUGGGUUUUUUUUCGUUUCUUGGUUAUCGAGGUGCUCGGAACGGUUUCUCGCCAGAAAAUCGUGGCACGAGUCGCAGUCGGAUGAAGGUCAGCUAGUGAAGUGAAGUGCUCGGUCGAUAUCGUAUCGUAACGACAUUUCGCGUGUUGAUAAAACGAAAAAGUGCUGAGGAAUUUGGACAAGCUGUUUGGUACGUGCGAGCGUGUCUUGUUGGCGGAAAGUUGAAUGGGUUAGAUUGCGCAACACAGCAACAAAAAGAGUUGAACUAAAGAGGAUAGACUAUUUCGAUGAACGCAAAAUCUGUAUGACUGCAAGUGAUUUUAUUAGUGAAUAAUAGUGUAGAUUGCACGACUAAUGAUACAUCACUCCGAUCAUCAACCAUCGAUCGAUUGCUGGCGGAUCAGUGUGAACAGUGUUGCAACCUUCCAGUCUCCAGUGUUGUAGCACUGGAAAGUGAACUGUGUGACGUUGCAUUCGAUUAAAUGCUUAACAACCUGCGUCGAAUUUUGGAGCAGAAAGAGCCGUGAGCAAGAGAAAGGUGUGCUUUUGUUUUGUUUUGAACACGUGAAGAAGUGCGAACCUGAAAACGCAGUGCUGUGUGAGAGAGUAAUAAAAUUUUUCGAAGAGAGUGAGCGAAAUUCCACUAGCAAACGAUGGAUUCGAUGACUUCGCUCCGACGGUUGCAGCAGCCGCACAAGCUAACAUCCAUACAGAUAAGCGCCGAAACAACGGUUUAUACCAGCCUCGAUUCGAGCCUCGCGCUGUUGCAGCGUCAAAAGCCCCCCUCGGCCGAGGAAGAUAGUGCUAACAGUAACAGUCUCCCCCCUGCAGUGGAAUUGUUGUUGUCUGCCGCAGCCGCAGCCAGUGCCGUCGCAAACGCUUCAACCGAACUUGAUGUUGCAGCAGAAAAAGUUGUUAAACCAGAUUUGGAGAAAGAAGAAAGAGCCAAAGAGAGCAGCAGGCUAAAGUUGCAUAUACAGCACGACCAGCAAGAGCCAAACGACGAGCUACAAGUGCUGGUGGAUUCAUCCAGAUCAUCUGGGGCUCAACUCGAAGGCAGUGCCGUUGCCCUUGCCAGCGAUAGUUCGGUGGAGGCCGUUCACGAGAAACCAUCGUUACUUGUGCCUGUGGACGACGAUCAGGAGUCGCACGUCGUACGUAUUCAGAUCGUUCAAAAAGAGGACAACAACAACAACAACCGCAACGACAGUCCCGUUAAUUUUAUGACGACUUCCUUCGGGACUGCAGUGAUUAAUGUUACAAACAACAGCAGUGCAGUCGUGGUGAACAAUCCGUGUAAGUCGAAAGUGUCAAUCGUAUCGUUCGGACCACCACCCGAUCAGGAAGGGUCCCUCAGUCCAACACCACCACCGUCAACCGAGAUGGUCCAGAAGCAAACAAGUGCGAGUCCCCCGGCAGGCACUCCAAUGGCCAAAGUCGGGGACCUGGACGUUAAUAGCGCCACCUAUCUGUACUACAUGAUGUCAUCGGGUCAGUGUAGCCCCAGUGACACCCUGGAUAGUGGAACGUGUAGUGAUAUCGAGGUCACACCACCUCCUUUGCCGAAAAAAAUGUCCAAAUCACCGCAGCCGCAGAAACCACAGCACGCGACCACAACUUUGACGGUGAUAAACGGACGCUCUCCAACGCCGGUGGCCGAUAAGCCUAAUCAGGGUGACGGCGGCUGUGGCGGAUAUCGACAUCAGCGGGUCGGCUCGAACAGCUACACCACCAGUGAUAGUGACGAAUCCGAAUCCAGUCUGAGCUGUGAUUCGCUUAAUUUUGCCAAACUGUGCGGUAACGUGGGUGCGCUUAAACUCGGUGACAGUUCGAAUCCUCGUUCGCCGGAACCGUGCACCAAUCUUAGCGACAGUGAAAAUGAUAAUGGGAAUAACCCGCUAGGGUCCACUCUGAAGAAGCACAACAUUGUCUCGAUUCUGCCGGAUUCGCUACUAAAAGACAUUCGCGAACGUUCGAUUGUCGCCGCGAGUGGAAACGCGCGUUCGUUUUCGCCGCCGCCGCGUGACGAAAUCGUGACCACAACUCGUACCAUUCUUAUGGAGAAGAUUAACAGCCUGAAUAGUGUCCACGCGGGGGGGGCUGGCAGUGCUACUAGUGUGUGCUCAUCGUCACCAGUGAUGCCGGGACGUGGUGACGCCGGUAGCAACAACCGAUCGCUUAGCUUUGAAAAUGACAAGUUUUAUAAGUUUCACAUCAAUGAACAUUCGAAUCUGCCUCCGGAACGGAGCAGCAUCAACGGCCACGGCAAUAGUUGCUCUUCGUCGGUUAUCGACGAUGAUGAGAGCUUUGCCGGGUUUAAGGAUCUAACCAGCGGCACGUCUACGAUUCGCAGCAACAAGGGAACGGUGCGCGGGGUCAAGAACCGUGUGCGCAACGGAAUCGCGACGUUCUUGCAGAUGCAGCAGGCGAACAUAAAGAACUUCAAGGAGAAGGACGCCGGUAAGGUGGUCGUGUACACAACCAGCAUGGGCAUUGUUCGGGAGACCUACGCGAAGUGUGCGAACGUGAAGCAGAUUCUGAGGACACUGCUGGUCAAGUUCGAGGAGCGGGACGUCUUCAUGAGUAACGAUUACCAGCAGGAGAUCAAGGAGCGAAUGCAAAACGAGUCAAUCCAAGUACCGCAAGUGUUUGUCGACGGCCAGCAUGUGGGGGACGCAGACUGCAUCGAACGGUUGAACGAAUCCGGCGAGCUGCGAAAAAUGCUCAAACCUUACAAAGUAUCUACUCAAAUAGACUGGUUAAGCCCUCCCGCGUCCAUCCCUGCUCAUUCUGCUUUCUUUUUUUUUCAUUUUUUUCCUACUCCUAGUGCCUCGAGUCAUCCUUCACGUGCAAAACCUGCGGCGGCUACCGGCUCCUGCCCUGUCCGUCUUGUGGCGGCUCGAAAAAGUCCAUCCAUCGUAACCACUUCACGGCAGAGUUUAUCGCGCUCAAGUGCAUGAACUGCGACGAAGUGGGCCUGGUCAAGUGCCACAGCUGCUGAGACCCGUCGUCGUCCUAGAAUAGUGCAAAGCAGGGGUGUCGAUUGACGAGGUCCCAGUCCGCGUGGGUGUGAACCAAAUGGCGAAGAACUUCGGCAGCGUCAUGCUGGAGGGGCUGACAUGUGCUAACAUUUUGCAAUAUUAGUUUGAUAAGCCGUUUGCAGAAGUAGAGUUGUGAUAAACACUGUUCGUUCGAUAGUUGGUAGGCGCUCGCGCACACACUUUCAUACUCUAUUUGCUCAAGCAGUAUCCGAAUAUUGCCGUAAACUGAUACUGUAAAAAACAACUGCUGGUUCUAUAUUGAGUAUUAUCCGUAUCCGUAGUUCUAUAUGUAUCCGUACUUUAAGCAAGAAUCUACCACUUUUCAAUGAUGCGAAUUAUUUAUAACUAAUCGUCGUUAUAGCAUUCCUUGCUAGGAAUUCAGCUUUUUGCGUGAUUUUUUGGUGGUUGUUGUGGUUGGUCAGUAACAUAAGAAAUAAACUUUAUUAAGUAACCUAAAACUUGACAUUACAAUUGAAGACAUCACAUUUUGGUGUAUUUGAACUUGAGAUAGUAACAACGUAAGAUUGUAUCAACUAAAAACAAAAAUAGAAACAACAGCUUCAACUAACCUUCCACGUCUGCCAAAAGUCACGUAAACGGCCUGAAUUUUGAACCUAUGCUUGUUUGUAUAAUUAAUUUUUCUGCGUUUAGUUGACUGCGUAGGGCGUGCAAUGCGUAAAGUAACACAAAUAAAAAUAGAAGCAAUUAUUCGGUAAGGCAGCUGAUUUUAGGCAUUUUUGUUAUUACGUAAUGGCAAAACUAGUAGAUAAAUGUACAUAAUAGAAAGAUACGACGUGCUGAAUACGUUCUAUUUUCACAAUCAACUGGCUGAACCGAAGGCAAAAGUGUAGAGAUAAAACGACGGUUGAGUAUUCAAGUGUAAUUUUUAAUUGGCACACAGUUUCAGAAAAUAAAUAAACACAAAAAUUGAUUGCAACAUUACAUUAAGAAACAAACUAACUAUGGAGUACCCGCUUGGACGAAUAGAUCAAUCGUUAUCGAAAUAUAUUUUUGUGCAAAA